GGCUGGGGGUCAUGGGUACGUAACUUCCUUCCCGACAAACACAAAAGAAGCUCUCCCAAAUUGUUUGGUACGCAAGUUGCUUGUCGCUGGUCGGUACAAACCGCGCACUUCAUGCUGGGUUUUGGUUGCGAACAACUCCCUCGCUGUGGUCUGGACUGUCAUCUCCUCCCUACUCCUGUUUCCCUGUGACUACCAAUGCGAAUGCUGACCGUGGAGCUGACACACUUCCCUCCUCUGCUCCUG